rnacentral:sRNA from 1 species
UAGGGAGGGUUUGACUGGCUGUGCUAUCUCUUUUCUGUUCUUUCUAAUCUAGUCUUCCUUUCCCUGUCUUUCAGUGAUCAUCCUCCCACAUCCUUUGAUGUGGGAGAACUGCGGCUGGGCUGAGUUGUAAGGGAUGCACUGCUGCAGAAGCCAGAGUCUGACCUCAUCUCCACCUGGUCCAGGAGGGGAGACUGAGGGAAGAGCUUAGAUUCAAAGCCAAGAACAUCUUGGCAGGAUGUGGCUUUUCAGGAGAUGAUUCUUCCUUGGAGUUCAGGAGCUAAUGCGUCAAGAGGACACUCAAGCAGUACUGGGAACAAGAGUCAACAACAAUGGCUCAUGGACCACAUGAGUGAACCAUCUUGGCAAUAGAAUCCAGCCCAAGGUCCUGGAACAAAAGACUGCUGAUUUGGAAGUUGAGAUUUCAUAUUCAUCAGAGGCACAGAGGGAACUGAGGCAUGACUCAAGGGAUGUGAUUGAGUCAUAGCAGACAGAGACUCGUCAACCUUGUAAAUGAAGUCAUGCUUUGUCUGCAAACAGAGAAAGUACACAUGCCUGGUAUCCAGGCUUCUGUCGUUUAUAACAGACUUUGAAAGGCACGUCAGCAAACAUUAAAACAGGUGAAUAAUCUCCUUUGUAUGUGAACAGGCUGGGGUUCAGAGAGAGGAGCCAAACUCGCCAACAUCAUAUGGCCACGCAGCAACAAGGCUUGUCCUGGAGCCCAGAUGGCAAGAGAGAAGAGGCAAUGCUUGUGUCUGGCUCUGCCACCUUGGGCAGCUGAAACAGAGUGAGAAGCUGACUGAUCUGUAGAGGCUUUCUCAUCCUGGGCUUGGACUUCUCCUUUGCUGACUGGAAGCGAUGAACAUUCCCUACUCCCUCUUCUCUGGAUUCACACUGUUCUCUGUGUCAGAAGUCUCUGGAAAACUUUAUACCUGCACACCUUCUCCACUGUGUAUUUCUCUUGAUUUUAUGAGUGGAAAGCUGUGGGGUAUGAGGAGCUCCAUACUCAGAACCCCUCACUCAACACUGCAUGAGAAGACACGAUUUUUCUCCUUCUUUGCACUCCAGGCUCUGCAUGAGAAGGGUGAAGGCUAUCUUCCCAGCCUGUCACAUAAAAUUAGGAUACUAAAACUACUUCAGGGAAAGAAAAUGGUUGUCAUCUUCUGUUGUCACUGAGUCUCUUGGUACAACUUUCUUGCUUAUACUGAGGUGGAAUGUGUGUGUUUGUAAUAUGUAUAUAAGCAUGUAUAACAUAUAUAUGUACAUACAUAAAUGUGUAUAUAUGCACAUAUAUGUAAUGUGUGUUUUAUGUGAAAUGUAGUACCAUUAAAGGAAAUGGAUGUUAAGUGCUUCUA